AUGAUAAAUCAACCAAGGUUGAACCCGGACAGAGCAGCUGUGGCGAGAUCACAGCGUUGGCUACCUCCGCAAGCGGGUCAUUUCAAGAUAAAUGUGGAUGCAGCUGUAGGUCGUCGAGGCGAGCAUGGAUCAGUGGGCACUAUAUGCAGGGAUCAAACGGGACGUUUUGUGGGAGCAUCAGCCUUUGGUUUCACAAAUAUAGGUGAUCCACCCACCCUGGAAGCACUCGCGAUCAGAGAGGCGCUUAACCUAGCCGAUGAUCUUAACCCACAUCACAUUCAAGUAGCCACGGAUUGCAAGGAAGUCGUGGAAGAAAUCAAGAAGGGAGGUGCAGCUAGAUAUGGUGCGAUCGUUCAGGAGAAAAAACUUCAUUCAGUUUCUUUUAUUUCAUGUAUGAUAGGUCAUGAGUUUAGGAGCUCAAAUUAUGAAGGUCACAAUCUUGCGAAGUUCGCUUUAUCUUUGGGGCCUGGUCGGCAUGUCUGGCUUGGGCAACCCGAAGGGAUUCCUUUCGUCCCUGUAAACAUUGUGACGGUUGAAUAA
rnacentral:rRNA from 1 species